GGCAGGGCAGUUCCAGCCUCUGCGUGUGUCAUCGUGUAGUUUGUUUCUUCUGUCUGCCGUGUCUUUGCCCUUCCUCGGCUCUAAACGUCCUCGCGUCUCUUUGGGCUCGAGGAGCUCGGCACGCGUCUCGGGGGCCAUCCCUAGGGUAUCGAACGCCCAUCUUCAUCGGCACGCUGCCGAUCGGGUGCUUUUUUUAUUCUUGCGUUAUGAGCUUAAAGCGUGGGUAGGUCUUGGAAGUUUCCGGUCGGGAGUCUUUUGCGCAGCAUCGUCGCCGGCUGCGGCAUCAGCUCUGCUCCUUAGGCAUCCAUUUUCACGGACUGCGACGUCUCCCCUGCAUCCCUCCGUCCUAGGAUUCGGACUCCUACUUCUCAUCCACCGUCUCGGUUUUGACGGUAGCUUCGUAUAACGGGCCAUAACGCGUGACUCUUUCUGGGGCUGCCGUAUAGCCUCCUCGCCUCCCAGUUGUGGCCCUCUAGGUCUUCUCGCCUGACAUGGUAUCUUGUCUGAGAGCCCUUAUCGCUUAGAGUUUAUCUUGGAAUCAAACCUUUGGUAGCGUUUAGCGUUAGUGUAUGCGUGUGCCUGUUUGGCUCAGAGCUGCCCUGCCUGGGGGGUGUAGAGUCAGGAGUAAGUAGAACGGCAGUAGAAGUCAACGGUUUAAAUGUUGAUACGCUUAGACCGCCUAGGCGACAGACGUACGGUCACCUCGUAGUAGCCAUCCAGAGGCUGUGCGGACGCUCAUUUCUAGGGCGUUUUAUGGAGACUGUUGGAGCGGUGUGGGAGCGGCGGUCCAGCAGUAGCAAAUGAGAUGGAAUCUCAAAGGUGUUAAGGCUCGCAGGCGUGGGAGCGUACGCUCUGGGGGGAGGCGCGUGGUUUUCUUUUUAACAACAGGCUGUAGUUGGAUGCCGGCUAGUAUCCCUAGGCGGAAGUGACACCUCCGGAUUUGUUAAGCCUCCGGGUGACUCGCGUAACUGUUUUGACAUGCAGAUCGGUGAGAUGCGCACCAAAGAGUGACGGGGGAGAUGGAGAGCCACAAGCAAAGUAGGAUUUUGGCACCGGAGGCAGCUUGGGCGAGGUGGCACGCGAGCCUUGACGUGACAACUGGAAACAGCAGCGGCAGGGCAGGUGAAGGGCCGAGUUUUUUGCAGGUGCCGCAGAUGGCCGCGGAGGGGCCGAGCCGCACGCAGACCGACAGUCUGAGAAGGUGCUUUGGGAGCCGCCUUUGGGAUCGGAUGAGCGUUUGAAGCGAGCCGGGGUAGUCGCAAGGAGGAUGGUGGGUGACUCGUUAGAAGCGCAAGGGUAACUUUGUCUCUCGGUAUCUUAGGUAACGCCAGCGACGACGGCUGCAGCAUCUGACUCUGCAAAGAGCCGGUGAAGAGGAAGGCGGCAACUGCAGGAACGUGCUAGUUAGCUGCCGCGCUGCUUUUGUCGAGGAUGGAAUCGGACCUCCGGCCCUGUGAAAGCUAAGUCGACCGAACGGGGCCGCGAGGAGGGGCCGAGGUUGGGAAUUGCAGGGGAGUGUUUGAAAGUUAGCACGGGGGAGAAGGCUGUACGGGAGCGGGGCCCUCCGGUCAGGUAAAGGUAACGGAUUACUUUUUCCCCUCGAUGUUAGCGUGUCCCGGGCAGGGCAGUUCCAGCCUCUGCGUGUGUCAUCGUGUAGUUUGUUUCUUCUGUCUGCCGUGUCUUUGCCCUUCCUCGGCUCUAAAUGUCCUCGCGUCUCUUUGGGCUCGAGGAGCUCGGCACGCGUCUCGGGGGCCAUCCCUAGGGUAUCGAACGCCCAUCUUCAUCGGCACGCUGCCGAUCGGGUGCUUUUUUUAUUCUUGCGUUAUGAGCUUAAAGCGUGGGUAGGUCUUGGAAGUUUCCGGUCGGGAGUCUUUUGCGCAGCAUCGUCGCAGGCUCUGGCGUCAGCUCUUCUAUUUAGGCAUCCGUUGUUCCUGCCGGUGACUUCUUUCCCGUAUCCUGACGUUCUUAGGUCUUGAAGCCCAUCUUCUUGCGUACCCAUCGUCUCGGUUUUGACGGUAGCUUCUCGUAAGGGGCCGUUCCACUUAGUGCUUCUUGUAGGCUGCCGUAUAGCCUCCUCACGUCGCCAUCGUGGCCCUCCGAGUCUUCUCGCCUUACGGCAUACCCUUCUGGGUGUCCUUAUCGCUUAGCGUUUAGUCCUCUUUGAAUCGCGUCAUUUGUAGUAUUUUGUGUGUGUCUGUGUGGCUCGGAGCUGCUCUGCCUGGGGGUGUGGAGUCUCAGGGAUAGGUGGAAUAGAGUUCACGGGUACACUGUAUGGGUUUGUUUUAAAUAAGAAAACGAAUCCUCCAACUGGGUGACAUCUUUGUCUCCCCGGUGGGGUUUAUUUUCACCCAGUCGCAGAUGCUCUCUGAGGGUGACGGUCGCGGUCAGCGUCUGGGUGAAGGUCAGGUUUGGGCCGGGAUUUCCUCAGGCUAGGCGCUCGAGUCCCCCAGGAACGGUAUUCAGGGGGUGACUGCCCGUCGUGACGGUUGGGCGGAAGGAUGGGCCGGUGGAGAGUGGGGGUUGGUUUUGGCGGUAGGUGGAAUAGCGGCAUGUUUAGAACGUGUCUAGCUGUGUAAGAGUAUUUGUCGUCUCUUUUCUUCCAGGAUGUAGGCGGGGCUCAAUUUGACUACGUAGACUGGAUUUAAUGAAAACCUCUGUCAGGGGAAUAAACUUCUGUUUUUUCCUGUC